UGUCAUCAUUGCUUUUCUAAUUUCUUUAGAGUUUUUUCUUUUAGUCAAUUCAGAGACGUUUCUCAAACAUUUGCAUGAAAAGAUAUGUUAUUUAAGACUAAAGUAUGAUGAUAUACACGAAAAAAUGGAUAACAAAAGGUGUUGAUCAUAAACUAUAUGACGCUUUGUGUGUAUAUGCUAAAUUUUUUCUAUUAUAGAAAUGUGAUGGAGAGGGUAAAACAGAUAUUAUACCAAUCAUACAAGGGCAAAAUUGUAAUUUACACUAACAAAUGGACUGAUUUCAAUUCCAAACGCAAGGUAUAGACCCAUCCGUCUUCCAUCUUUCUCACUCCAAGCAAAAAGAUUUCAACUCAUUCCAAGCACAAACACUCUAACAUAGUUCUAAAAGCAUAGUUUCUUCCAUCCCUCUUGUUCCAACACCAGUUAAUCGAUUCGCAAGUCCUCAUAAUUUCAGGUAUGUCCCAAAAUUAUAUAUGAAAUCCAUGGCUGAUGUGAAGGUUUAUGUUGUCUGAAAUUCAUGGCUGAUGUGAAGGUUUAUGUUGUCCUUACAUAUCUGCGAUUCCAUAAGAAAAUAACAUAUUACUAAUUACUGACUGAUCUAAUAAAGAGUUCACAUUUUAUGAAAUUGAACCGUGUUUGUUUAUGCAUAAGUAUACACCCCAUACCAAUUGCUAGAGGUUAUGGAUGAGUUAUCAACCAUGGUAGUCUAGAUUCAAUUACCCAUCUAUUUUUUGGAACGAAACAAGAACAUAAAUGGAGUUUAAAAGCAUAUGAAAAGAUGAAGUUGUGUUGCUCGCUAUUGUCAAUGAAACUUUCUCGCGUGUACAAUCGCGUGUGUAGUUACACAUUUAUCUACAAGGAUCCAAAUACCAUCUCUUCCCUCGGCAUCUUCACUAUCGAACCCGAACAAAAGUUGUGAAUCUUCACCAAUAAACAGGGAUGGAAUCCAUCUGCAAAGAGCUGAUGGAGAACACUGUGCCGAUUUCCACUUAUGCUCCAUCAAAUAUAUUGUACUUGGCACAAUAAAACUUGGACAUGUUUCUACUUUAGUUAAUUAAAACAAAAGUAAGGGUAUGUUUUCUGGAUCAUUCUUCAUAUGUCUCUCCAUAAUUUCUCAUUCCUCACCUUUACUGUCUUACCCUAAGAGGGCAACUGGGCAAGGUAAGAUCAAAUAAAUAUAUGAAUCUUUUACUCCUCUUCGGAAUUUCAAUAAGAAAGAAGAUUCACUAAAGUUUAGGAUUUGGAAUUUUUUAAAAAUUCUCUUAAUUUUUCUUCGAUUUAGAGUGUAGCUAGCUUUGGUGGGUCACUGAUAUCCGCACGACCCAAGGCCUUCCGUUGAACUACUACUCAGGUCUAAAUCUCAUUCUAUAACAUGUUCUCCUUCUCUUCAUAUAUUCUACUUUGAAAAUAUUCUUUCUUAUUUUUGAGAAUGUUUUUUUCUCUUCUUAAAUUAUUAUUUUUGAGAAUGGAAAAUAUUCUUUCUUAUUUCCUCUUAGUUAAAACAUUUUAAAUACAUUACCCUCUAUUAUCUUUAUCUAUUGCACCCAACAAUAUGACUUCUGAGUUUAGAUUUAACCGUUUUAUAUUUGAUUGUUAAUAUAUGUUUUUAUUAUUUUGAUUUUUUUUAAUUGCACAUAGAUCUCAUCUCCUUUCCUAAAGCCAAAAUCAAUCUCUAUAUAUCUGUGGGAUUUCAUUAGCUCUUCCGCGUGUAAGAUCCUUUCCUGGUUGCAUCAGUGUUUGUGUUAAGGUAAAUGUAUACAUUACAACUCUCAAUGGCUGGUUGUUCAUAUAAGGUUCCUCACACUUACUCUCUCUUUGAGGCAUGAAUAUGAGGUACAAUCAGAUGGUCUUGCAGAGUACAAUCCCUGGCAAACAUAUAUUACG